AACGAACGCUGGCGGCGCGUCUUAUACAUGCAAGUCGAACGAUCUGUAGCAAUACAGGGAGUGGCGGACGGGUGAGGAACACGUAGGAAUCUACCUCGAAGAGCGGGACAACUUUGGGAAACCGGGGCUAAUACCGCAUAGUACAGAGAUGUUAAAGGGCUAGCAAUAGUCGCUUCGAGAUGAGCCUGCGGUCUAUCAGCUUGCUGGUGAGGUAAUGGCUCACCAAGGCAACGACGGAUAGCCGGUCUGAGAGGAUGAUCGGCCACACUGGCACUGAGACACGGGCCAGACUCCUACGGGAGGCAGCAGUUAAGAAUCUUGCGCAAUGGGGGCAACCCUGACGCAGCGACGCCGCGUGAAGGAUGAAGGCUUUCGGGUUGUAAACUUCGGUAGACUGGGAAGAAGAACUACGUUCGUUGAGGGCGUAGAGUGACGGUACCAGUCUGAAGCCCCGGCUAAUUACGUG
rnacentral:rRNA from 1 species